CGCGGGGGCAACCCUGGCGGCGAGCGGCGAACGGGUGAGUAAUACAUCGGAACGUGUCCAGUAGCGGGGGAUAACCUGUCGAAAGAUAGGCUAAUACCGCAUACGAUCUACGGAUGAAAGCGGGGGACCGCAAGGCCUCGCACUGUUGGAGCGGCCGAUGUCGGAUUAGCUAGUUGGCGGGGUAAAAGCCCACCAAGGCGACGAUCCGUAGCUGGUCUGAGAGGACGACCAGCCACACUGGAACUGAGACACGGUCCAGACUCCUACGGGAGGCAGCAGUGGGGAAUUUUGGACAAUGGGGGCAACCCUGAUCCAGCCAUGCCGCGUGAGUGAAGAAGGCCUUCGGGUUGUAAAGCUCUUUCGGCGGGGACGAAACGGUUCGUGACAACACCACGAACUAAUGACAGUACUCGCAGAAGAAGCACCGGCUAACUACGUGCCAGCAGCCGCGGUAAUACGUAGGGUGCAGGCGUUAAUCGGAAUUACUGGGCGUAAAGCGUGCGCAGGCGGCUCCUUAAGUCAGAUGUGAAAUCCCCGGGCUUAACCUGGGAACUGCGUUUGAAACUGAGGGGCUAGAGUGUGGAAGANGGGGGGUGGAAUUCCAGGUGUAGCAGUGAAAUGCGUAGAGAUCUGGAGGAACACCGAUGGCGAAGGCAGCCCCCUGGGCUAACACUGACGCUCAUGCACGAAAGCGUGGGGAGCAAACAGGAUUAGAUACCCUGGUAGUCCACGCCCUAAACGAUGUCAACUGGUUGUCGGGGAAGCAAUUCCUUGGUAACGAAGCUAACGCGUGAAGUUGACCGCCUGGGGAGUACGGCCGCAAGGUU
rnacentral:rRNA from 1 species